rnacentral:rRNA from 1 species
UUAAAUGGCCGCGGUAUUUUGACCGUGCUAAGGUAGCAUAAUCAUUAGUUUUUUAAUUAAAAGCUGGAAUGAAGGGCUGGAUGAAAAAAUGACUGUCUCAAUUUAAAAAUUAAGAAUUUUAUUUUUAAGUUAAAAAGCUUAAAUAAGUUUAAAAGACGAGAAGACCCUAUAGAGUUUUAGAAUUAAAAUUUAUUUAUUAUUUAGAAUUUAAUUAAAAAGUAAGUUUUAAUUUUUUAAUUGGGGUGAUUAAAAAAUUUAAAUAACUUUUUUUAUAAAUUUAUAUUGAUUUAUAGAUAUUUGAUCCAAUUGUUUUGAUUAAAAGAUAAAAUUACCUUAGGGAUAACAGCGUAAUUUUAUUGGAGAGUU